rnacentral:rRNA from 1 species
AGCAGCCGCGGUAAUUCCAGCUCCAAUAGCGUAUAUUAAAGUUGUUGCAGUUAAAAAGCUCGUAGUUGAAUUUCGGGGUUAGUAGGUUGGUCAUGCCUCUGGUAUGUACUGGUCUCACUGAUUCCUCCUUCCUGAUGAGCCGUAAUGCCAUUAAUUUGGUGUUGCGGGGAAUUUGGACUGUUACUUUGAAAAAAUUAGAGUGUUUAAAGCAAGCUAACGCUUGAAUACAUUAGCAUGGAAUAAUGAAAUAGGACGUUCGAUCCUAUUUUGUUGGUUUCUAGGAUUGACGUAAUGAUUAAUAGGGAUAGUUGGGGGCAUUAGUAUUCAAUUGUCAGAGGUGAAAUUCUUGGAUUUAUUGAAGACUAACUACUGCGAAAGCAUUUGCCAAGGAUGUUUUCA